AGCCCACCCCCGUUGUGAUACGGAAAGCACCCAAGAGCCGUGAGACAGCAAGCCUUGUUGAUGCCAGGCUAUGGUGAUGCCGUCGAUCUGGCAGUGGAGCAGCCGUCACCAUCAGAUCCAUUUCCAGAGGAAUUUCCCAGGAGCCGUAGCUGGAGGAGAAGUUGGCAGAUACGGACAUGAGGAAACUGAACAUCCUUCUAAGCAGACACGAAGAGUCCUCAGCUUUCUGCCUCCCACAUAACUGGCUUACCAAGGAAAAAGAAGUCAGACGUCAGAGUCUACUGCCCUCAUGCGACGGACAGUGAGUGAGGCAGAAGCCUGUGAGCAUUGUUCAUGCCAGGCAAGAGCCGUCCAUCUGGGAGCCAAGCACAGACUACUGUCAGUGAGAUAAGUGUCUGUUUUGCUGAGGGUUCUGCUCACGGCCCACCUCCUGGUAGGUACGCCCCAUUAGCAAGGCCUGGGUUUGUAAGAAAAGGUUCCUAAC